AGGUGAACCUGCGGAAGGAUCAUUAAAGAAAUUUAAUAAUUUUGAAAAUGGAUUUUUUUGUUUUGGCAAGAGCAUGAGAGCUUUUACUGGGCAAGAAGACAAGAGAUGGAGAGUCCAGCCGGGCCUGCGCUUAAGUGCGCGGUCUUGCUAGGCUUGUAAGUUUCUUUCUUGCUAUUCCAAACGGUGAGAGAUUUCUGUGCUUUUGUUAUAGGACAAUUAAAACCGUUUCAAUACAACACACUGUGGAGUUUUCAUAUCUUUGCAACUUUUUCUUUGGGCAUUCGAGCAAUCGGGGCCCAGAGGUAACAAACACAAACAAUUUUAUUUAUUCAUUAAAUUUUUGUCAAAAACAAGAAUUUUCGUAACUGGAAAUUUUAAAAUAUUAAAAACUUUCAACAACGGAUCUCUUGGUUCUCG
rnacentral:misc_RNA from 1 species